UGCGUAGGCGGGUCUUUAAGUCAGGGGUGAAAUCCUGGAGCUCAGCUCCAGAACUGCCUUUGAUACUGAAGAUCUUGAGUUCGGGAGAGGUGAGUGGAACUGCGAGUGUAGAGGUGAAAUUCGUAGAUAUUCGCAAGAACACCAGUGGCGAAGGCGGCUCACUGGCCCGAUACUGACGCUGAGGCACGAAAGCGUGGGGAGCAAACA
rnacentral:rRNA from 1 species